ACUUUCUAGAAUGUUCUAGCAACAAGAUCACGCAGUAUAUACCUUUUGGGCCUCGUUUCAUUCACUCGUGAUAACUUGAGGUUCAUCCAGUUCGCUGUGGGUCUCGACAGUCCAUUCCUUUUCAUUGUUGAACAGUAUUCCAUUGCUUAGAGACUGAAAAUCGAGGGGUGUCUGGAAGUCAGCGGAGGAGAGAGCCCUGCGGUGUGUAGCUGCCUAUACCUUGUCAAACAGGCUUCCUCCAAUCAUGAGCCUUAUUGUUACUGACGUCAGUUGAUGCUAUAAUUGGAUAUGGAGAUGGAGCGUGCGCAGAUGUAAUAGGGAUUGAAGCGUUCUGAGCCCAUGAAGAUGUCAAAAAAUAAAAAGAUAAAUACCGCAACAGGGUCCUAUCAUCCUUGCUGCAGUCACCUGGCCCCUUUUGACGUCGCCCUGUGCAAGGAACAGAGGCAGCUGGCACCUGGGACUAGACUUACUUUCAUUGUCUAUCCUAUUCACUGUGACAUGGGAGGAAGCCAGCAGAGAACAGAGGGGCCAAGGAAUAACCCACUUAUCUCGUGGCAACAACAGUGAUGGUGACAAUACAAUAACAGUGAGAAUCAUGGAUGGAGCCUUUCUUUGGACCAGGCACUUUACAAGGUGCCCUUUCAGUUGGUUUUAUGAAUCCCAG